GGGCGUGGUCAUGGAGAAGAACUGGGCCCUUUCUGUUGACCAGUUCUGGCUGUAGGUGUUGCAGUUUUCUGAGCAUCUCAUUGAUUU